AAGGUAGCGAAAUUCCUUGUCGGGUAAGUUCCGACCUGCACGAAUGGCGUAACGACUUCCCCGCUGUCUCCAACAUAGGCUCAGCGAAAUUGAAUUCUCCGUGAAGAUGCGGAGUACCCGCGGUCAGACGGAAAGACCCCGUGCACCUUUACUACAGCUUUGCAGUGGCCCCAGGAACCGAAUGUGUAGGAUAGGUGGGAGGCU
rnacentral:rRNA from 1 species